rnacentral:rRNA from 1 species
AGUGAACGCUGGCGGUAGGCCUAACACAUGCAAGUCGAACGGCAGCACAGUAAGAGCUUGCUCUUACGGGUGGCGAGUGGCGGACGGGUGAGGAAUACAUCGGAAUCUACUUUUUCGUGGGGGAUAACGUAGGGAAACUUACGCUAAUACCGCAUACGACCUACGGGUGAAAGCAGGGGAUCUUCGGACCUUGCGCGAUUGAAUGAGCCGAUGUCGGAUUAGCUAGUUGGCGGGGUAACGGCCCACCAAGGCGACGAUCCGUAGCUGGUCUGAGAGGAUGAUCAGCCACACUGGAACUGAGACACGGUCCAGACUCCUACGGGAGGCAGCAGUGGGGAAUAUUGGACAAUGGGCGCAAGCCUGAUCCAGCCAUACCGCGUGGGUGAAGAAGGCCUUCGGGUUGUAAAGCCCUUUUGUUGGGAAAGAAAAGCAGCAGGUUAAUACCCCGUUGUUCUGACGGUACCCAAAGAAUAAGCACCGGCUAACUUCGUG